rnacentral:lncRNA from 1 species
UUCGCAAUAUCAUUGAUCACAACAAAGACUAGUCGAUCAUUCUUCAACUUUCUAUCUCUCAACCUUCAACCAUGGAAUUUUUUAAAACGUUCUGUCUUCGAAGAUCAUUGGGAAUGAUGAUGGAAAAUGUUGAACUAUUAUCUGAUUGAGAAGCGUGCUGAUGGCAUAGAACACGCCUACAUUGAUGCCAUAACUGAACAAUAGUAACAAGUAACCGACGUUUGUGACCAGUUUCUUCAUUUCUAUGAAAAAACUUUUCGGAGUUUCGUUCUCUCUCUGAACUUGAGCUUGUGCUUGAUUCGGAGGAAGCGGUGGUUUAGACUUAAAAACUACAAGAAAAUAUUAUUUCAAUAUGGAGGACUGAAAAUUGUAAUGGUCCCAUCAUGAGCUAUCCCGACAAGAGUUCCGCUCUCGAAAGCUUGUGCUCGAGGAGCGGCAAACUUGGCAGUCACGUCAUAAACAGCAAGAUGUGAAGAACGAUUGAUGUACGCAUUCUAAGAAUAGAAUUCUUUUGAUCGAACAGAUAUGAUUUCUUUGAAAUGAAAUAUUCAAGAUUCUCGAACUAUACAUCUGCAUACUUGAGAUAAGAAGAAAAAAGAUUCCCGGACUAUCUGUAUACUCGAGACCAGAAAAAAUCUAUAUCAAAGUUGAUAAAAUAAUCUGAUCGGCGCUGCACCUUGAAUAGAUUAUCUUCCUACCAGAAGGGGUGAUCUGUUUGAAAUACAUAGGUUUAAUUCGCUGAAUGGGGUCCCAGAUCCCCCCUCGUACCGCCACGAAAUAAAACGUGGGUGCACGUUACGAUUCUGUUUCCCAUCUAAUCACUACUUAAUUCUCCAACGACCCUGUCUCUCGAAUUAGAGUUUUACUACACAGAUACGUUCGGCUCUAUCCAGUUGAAAAUUUGGCGUGCGCGAUUCUAUUGCUAUUGUUUCGAGUAAAGUGAUCGUAAUUAAUGUCUUUGAGACAAUAAUUGAGACAAUGAUCUGGUAUUAUAAC